rnacentral:pre_miRNA from 2 species
UCACCGUCGGGCUCGGAUUCGCUUGGUGCAGGUCGGGACACAAAAUCACUGGUGCUUUUGCCUUAUUGGUUUGUGAGCAGGGAUUGGCUCCCGCCUUGCAUCAACUGAAUCGGAGCCUCCAAUGGUG